UGAGUGAGCGAAUGAGUCAGGUAGAAGGUGUCAUCAUUUUUGGAGCCGCUGCCACGCAAGUGGAAACAGCUCCUGGAGCAAGUGGCAACGUGUUGGCAAAAGAAUGGCCGCGGGCAAAAGGUCGCUUCGUAGAGGGGGUCUGUUAAGCGGGUCGAUCUCCUACCUGCCGCGCAGAGCUCCUUUUGUGGGACAGGAAUAGGGUGGCCACUGGAACCAUUGUUUCAUGAGAGCCGCUUCACGUAUCAUGUGAAGAGAAAGAAAAGACUCACAGUGCAAAGAUGCCAUAUGGUUCGAAGAAAGGAAGCACCUGUUCUGUAUCCCACCGGCCAUUAGAAUAUGCUCAUUUAAACCAUGAGACCACAGUCUGUGUCACCGAUACGCCUUGAAAUUACACAUCAGUCACCUAUCGGACCCUUUGCGGACUCCUCCACCAGCCUUGCCUUGAUAAGCGGAGCCUUCCAAAACCUCAGAUCAAUAUUUCCCAUGCUCCUACAAGCAAAGGCUACCUGACCACUAAUACAAAUAAAUGUCAGACUGAAGAAAUGGAUUUCUUUUAUGAUCAAGAAACAGGCAAUGAAAGAAUCAGAUAUUUGGUUGUCCUCUGUGCUCUAUUCUUGGACUCUCUGAUCAGAGUCAGAAAAGGCAUGUAUAUCAAAAUACAAAAUGUAAAUCAUAAAAAAUAUAUAAAUAUACACAUCUACACGUAUUAUGAUUUGUGAUUUUUCAGGUAAUUAAGUGUUAAGUAUUUUCUUAAACAGUCAAAUGGAGAGACAGAAAGAUACCAAUGUUUACUGAUCGACAGACACGAUUUUCAACACAAUACAUAGAAUGGAAAAUCGAAAUUGA